UACGGGGGGGGCAAGCGUUGUUCGGAAUUACUGGGCGUAAAGGGCUCGUAGGCGGCCAACUAAGUCGGACGUGAAAUCCCUCGGCUUAACCGGGGAACUGCGUCCGAUACUGGAUGGCUUGAGUUCGGGAGAGGGAUGCGGAAUUCCAGGUGUAGCGGUGAAAUGCGUAGAUAUCUGGAGGAACACCGGUGGCGAAGGCGGCAUCCUGGACCGACACUGACGCUGAGGAGCGAAAGCCCAGGGGAGCAAACGGG
rnacentral:rRNA from 1 species